CUGAGUGGCUGUAUUCGCGAUUCUCUUCGGAGGAGAGGCGAAGCUACCCGACCUGAUGUCAUUCUAUCCGAGGGUGCGUCCGCUUGAGACAGCGGUUCGACGUUGGAGUUACCCGGACGAGGCGCCUGUCUCGAAAGGGGAAGCUCCGGGUCGGGCCGUGGCGCGCCUCUCGGCACAACUUUCCGCGGAAGUGGUAGGCGUUGACCUGCCCGCCGCGGGGCCGUACUUUUCACAACUCUUGAAGAAAACCUGAAGUCUGAAUAUCAAAACAAAAUGAAAAAGCAA
rnacentral:misc_RNA from 1 species